ACGCAGCUCGGAUCUGGUGUUGCUGUGGCUGUGGUGUAGGCCAGCAGAUGUAGUUGCAAUUGGACCCCUAGCCUUGGAAUCUCCGUGUACCACAGGUGUGGCCUUAGCAAAGGCAAAAAGACAAAAAAAAAAAAAAAAAAAAAAAAAAAAAAAAAAAAAANAAAAAAAGAAAGACAGGGAAAGAAGUUCCCAUCGCAGCGCAGUGGUUAACAACUCCAACUAGGAGCCAUGAGGUUGCUGUUCGAUCCCUGGCUCCACUCAGCGGGUUAAGGAUCCAGCAUUGUCUUGAGCUGUGGUGUAGGUCGCAGACACGGCUCGGAUCUGGGUACAGCCCCAAAAAGACAAAAAAAAAAAAAAAAGUUUGUAUAGUAUAAGUGUUCCCUUAACCCUGGGGCAAAGAGCUGCCUCACUGUCUAAGACUGCCUUUGAAAUGCUUGCCUUUAAAGGUGUAGGAUGUGGCAUUGUCUGAAAUUGUUACCAAAAGUUGAGGCAGGGGGGUUAAAUACCUAAUCUGAAAGGACAGGCAAUCUUGAAGUCACUUUUAAUCCUCAGAGAGGGGGAAGGGAGAAAUACUUCACACAGUGGUGCUUUGGAAGAGAAGUGGGCCCUAACGUUUCUCAUUCUAUUAAAAAAUAAUUUCGUGGAGAAUAAAGACAAUCAUCUUUGUCUAUCUAUCAAGUGUAUUCCUUUCCAAGAUUCGCUGACAAUUGUUUUAUCACAACUAUAGACAAAAAAGAAAUUAAGACAGAGUUGAACAUUCUUUUGUCUCUUUUUGUCUAUCCUCACUCACCCUCUAGAAUUGUUACAAAACUGAUCUCUCUUAUUAAUCUUUUUUUUUUUUUUUUGCUUGCUUUUUAGGGCCACAUGUGGAAGUUUGCAGGCUAGGGGUCGAAUCAGAGCUACAGCUGCUGGCCUACACCCCAGCUCACAGCAACUCCAGAUCCUUAACCCACUGAGUGAGGCCAGCGAUCAAACCCAAAUCCUCACGGAUACUAGUUGGGCUCAUUACCACUGAGCCACAAUGGAACUCCUCUUAUUAUUCUUAUAAAAAACAUGCCACCUUAACACUUUCAGGAUGAUCUCCCACUCUUCCCCCUCCCCUCCCCAUCUUCUCCAUCCUCCUCCUUUUUUCCUCCUCCUGUACUAUCACCAUCAUCUUCAUGACGCAGCCCUGGUACAACAUGCUUCUUGCAUGUCUCUGUGUCUUUGUCAGUCCCAUUAGUCUUUUUGCCUAGAAAAUGUCUAUUCUUAUGAGACUGGGAUAACUUUGAUCUCCAACCUAGGUUCUCAACCCUAGUUGCUCUAGAAUCUCUUGGGAGAAGGGGAGGUGUAAAAAUAAUUAUUGCCCAAAUCCCAUCUUGCAGAAAGACUGAUUUAAGUGGUUUUUAAAAACAUGGGCAGCCAGGGUUGAGAACAACUCAUCUAUACCUUGUUGUGGCUCUUCUCUUCUCUACAUAGGAUAGGUUGUUCCUUCCCAUGAGUAUCCAGAGCUUUCUCUACAUACUUCCUUCAUACCCUGUGGCAUGGUGUAUUGCAGUUUCAGUUCACUACUUAUUCCUGUGUUAGACCUCAGCUCUCCUGAGACUGGAGUCUUAUCGUUCAUCCUUGUUUGUAUCUCAUGUUGGAAUUACCUGAGGAGACUCUCCCAAUACACAACCAACCCCCAGAAAAUCUAUCUGGAAUCUUGCGAGGUAGGUAUACUAUUACUGUAUUCAGGUCUGGCUUCUUACUGUUCAAAAAUCAAUACCAAGAGGCAAUUGUUGGUAGAAAGGAAAGUUCUUUGAAUAAGAAUGCUGGCCAUCUGGGGAAAAAAUGGACUCGUGUGCCCUCCAAAACAACUCCAAUGUUCUGCCUUGCCAUGAAAAUUUAUAAAGAGAAAAAGGGACGUAAUCUCAGUUAAUCAUUGCACUAGGGGGUCAGAGUCAUCACUAUUCCUCGCUAUGUACCUGUCAACUUCUUAUGGUCCUUCUUUAGAUGCUGUCUUGUUUACACAGUCUGUUCAAAGUUUGUGAGAUUACUGACAAGGAAGAGAUCUGCUCAUCUGUUCAAUACUUAUACUUCCUUUCUAACUCUUUGAUGUACGGAAAGAACCAGCAGGUUAGGCAAGAUAUCAUGUGAUCAAAGAUCUGGAAGAUGUAUUCUAGAGAUGAGUAGAGUAUAGGGGUGUCUGGUUUAAAAGUUAGUUACAAUGUAGCUUUGCUUAAACUGACAAAAAAGGGGAGGUUUCCUGCUGAGGGUGAUGUCCUGCAAAGAGUUGCUUACAAAUCUACCCAUCAGAUAGCAUUCCAUUUCUAUGGGAUUAGGAAUGAAGGUCCGUCUUCUGUAACUACUUCAUGCUGCACAAGGGCAUCAAGGUCUAAAAAUGAAAGAUAUUGGCAUAGGUUUGAAGCAUCUCUUUGCUGACAGUUUUAGGUGCCAUUAACAUGUACGGGCAGAGCAAGCUACAGUUACUUUGAUGCUCACAAAGAUAUUGAUUAUUAUAAGCAAUAAGGCUUAUCUCAAUCUCUUAAAGGCCAAUUGUUGAAACUGUGCUAGCCACAGACUCAGUACUGCUCAAGAUGGAGCAUCUUAUCUCAUGGUUGCAGUUUGGUCAUCCUGCAGUUAGUUUUUUCCCUCUGGGAGCAGUUAGAGUAUCUGUAAAGCAAUUCAGGAAUGUGCAUCAGACACUGAGUCUGUGACUCUAUUGUCCUCAUCAUUAACUGCUUGAGCCUGCUCUUUUGUGACUAAAGGAUUCCUGGGAGACUUCAGGGAACAUAGAGGGUCUUUGUACUUAGGGGUCCCCUGCAGGCUUUCACUUGAAUCCAAUGGGAGUGUGGGAUAAAGAAUGAGGUUUUUGUCAUUUCAGUGAGUAUUUAGUUGACUCUGAUUGUCAGUCUUUAACACCCCGGGUACAGCUCUAAAGACAAGUGUGACAUCCUUGGAGAGUUUUGGUCACAGAGCCCUAUCAUAUCUCCCUCCAUGGCAUCACCCAGUUACAUACCUACAUCCCCCUUUUGCAUGGCUUAAUGUGCUGCAAGAAUUGUCCCUCUCCAGCAUUUUUCUCCUGUUUCACCCCUUCUUAGAGACUUACCUAAUUGAUUUCUGAGUCAAAUUUAAACUAAUCAUGGGCUUCAAGGGUUUUUUUUUUUUUCCCUACUAAUUUAUCUAAGUGCCCUCUCUUGGCACCACCCUGGGUUUUGCUGUAUCUUCAGAUUAGUAAAAUGCUAUCGUUCCUCCUCCCUCUAGAGCUCUCCAUGCUUCCUUCUUCCAGGUGAGAAGAAGUCUGCUUUUGGAGUUCCUGCUGUGGUGCAACAGGAUUGGUGGUGUCUCUGCAGUGCCACGACAGGGGUUCAAUCCCUAGCCCAGUGCAGGGGAUUAAGGGAUCUGGUGUUGCCACAACUGCAGCUUGGAUCUAAUCCCUGGCCAGGGAACUCCCUAUGCCACGGAGAAGCCAAAAAAGAAAAAAAACAAAAAA
rnacentral:lncRNA from 1 species